UACGGGGGGGGCAAGCGUUGUUCGGAAUUACUGGGCGUAAAGGGCUCGUAGGUGGCCAACUAAGUCGGACGUGAAAUCCCUCAGCUUAACUGGGGAACUGCGUCCGAUACUGGAUGGCUUGAGUUUGGGAGAGGGAUGCGGAAUUCCAGGUGUAGCGGUGAAAUGCGUAGAUAUCUGGAGGAACACCGGUGGCGAAGGCGGCACUCUGGGCCGUGACUGACGCUGAGGAGCGAAAGCGUGGGGAGCAAACAGG
rnacentral:rRNA from 1 species